AUGUUUGAGGAGAAGAACAAAGAGAAAGCUAAACCCACAGGUCUGCCUCCCAAGAAAUCCCUCUCCGAUCUGCCAUAGGAAGUGGAAAUACCAGCAUAUCGAGCCCGACGUGUGUAACGAUAUGAUUAUGUGAACAGAAGUGAAUGAAACCGUUAACUGAAGAAUGUAAUGAAAUGUGUGCUAAUUUUAUUUUGAAUACAUAUAUAAUGUCUUAAAUGUUAUAAAACUGAAUACAUUGUCAGAAGUU
rnacentral:misc_RNA from 1 species